GAGCGAACAGAUGAGGAGCUUGCUCCUCUGAUGUUAGCGGCGGACGGGUGAGUAACACGUGGGUAACCUACCUAUAAGACUGGAAUAACUCCGGGAAACCGGGGCUAAUGCCGGAUAAUAUGCAGAACCGCAUGGUUCUGCAAUGAAAGACGGUUUUGCUGUCACUUAUAGAUGGACCCGCGCCGUAUUAGCUAGUUGGUAAGGUAACGGCUUACCAAGGCAACGAUACGUAGCCGACCUGAGAGGGUGAUCGGCCACACUGGAACUGAGACACGGUCCAGACUCCUACGGGAGGCAGCAGUAGGGAAUCUUCCGCAAUGGGCGAAAGCCUGACGGAGCAACGCCGCGUGAGUGAUGAAGGUCUUCGGAUCGUAAAACUCUGUUAUUAGGGAAGAACAAGUGCGUAGGUAACUAUGCGCACCUUGACGGUACCUAAUCAGAAAGCCACGGCUAACUACGUGC
rnacentral:rRNA from 1 species